rnacentral:rRNA from 1 species
AUUAGAGUUUGAUCAUGGCUCAGGACGAACGCUGGCGGCGUGCCUAACACAUGCAAGUCGAGCGAGUGGAGUUCUUCGGAACAAAGCUAGCGGCGGACGGGUGAGUAACACGUGGGCAACCUGCCUCAUAGAGGGGAAUAGCCUCCCGAAAGGGAGAUUAAUACCGCAUAAGAUUGUAGCUUCGCAUGAAGAAGCAAUUAAAGGAGUAAUCCGCUAUGAGAUGGGCCCGCGGCGCAUUAGCUAGUUGGUGAGGUAACGGCUCACCAAGGCGACGAUGCGUAGCCGACCUGAGAGGGUGGUCGGCCACAUUGGGACUGAGACACGGCCCAGACUCCUACGGGAGGCAGCAGUGGGGAAUAUUGCACAAUGGGGGAAACCCUGAUGCAGCAACGCCGCGUGAGUGAUGACGGCCUUCGGGUUGUAAAGCUCUGUCUUCAGGGACGAUAAUGACGGUACCUGAGGAGGAAGCCACGGCUAACUACGUGCCAGCAGCCGCGGUAAUAAU